GACGGAGGGUUUGAUCCUGGCUCAGAGUGAACGCUGGCGGCGUGGAUAAGGCAUGCAAGUCGAGCGAUCCUUGACACGCAAGUGUCAAGGAUAGCGGCAAACGGGUGCGUAACGCGUGGGUAACCUACCCCACAGUGUGGGAUAACCCAACGAAAGCUGGGCUAAUACCACAUGCGCCCCGUCCUCUGCAUAGAGGGCGGGGGAAAGAUGGCGACCCGCAAGGGGCUAUCACUGAGGGAGGGACCUGCGUUCCAUCAGCUUGUUGGUAGGGUAACGGCCUACCAAGGCGAUGACGGAUAGCUAGCCUGAGAGGGCGGUUAGCCACACUGGGACUGAGACACUGCCCAGACUCCUACGGGAGGCUGCAGUCGAGAAUCUGUCGCAAUGGGGGCUACCCUGACGAUGCGACGCCGCGUGCGGG
rnacentral:rRNA from 1 species